UUCGAUGAUACGCGAGGAACCGUUACCUGGGCUCGAACGUAAGAUGACUGUAGGUGAAAGCUUACAUCUCUUCGGAGCAUUUUACGUAGGUGCUGCAUGGUUGUCGUCAGCUCGUGCCGUGAGGUGUCGGGUUAAGUCCCAUAACGAGCGCAACCCCUACCUUUAGUUGCCAUCAGGUUAAGCUGGGGACUCUAAAGGAACUGCCUACGCAAGUAGUGAGGAAGGCGGGGAUGACGUCAAAUCAGCACGGCCCUUACGUCCAGGGCUACACACGUGCUACAAUGGCCGAUACAGAGGGCAGCUACCUGGUGACAGGAUGCAAAUCUCCAAAGUCGGUCUCAGUUCGGAUCGGAGUCUGCAACCCGACUCCGUGAAGUUGGAUUCGCUAGUAAUCGCGCAUCAGCCAUGGCGCGGUGAAUACGUUCCCGGGCCUU
rnacentral:rRNA from 1 species